UACAUAGGUCUCAAGCGUUGUUCGGAUUCAUUGGGCGUAAAGGGUGCGUAGGCGGCUCGGUAAGUCGGGUGUGAAAUCUCGGAGCUUAACUCCGAAACUGCAUUCGAUACUGCCGUGCUUGAGGACUGGAGAGGAGACUGGAAUUUACGGUGUAGCGGUGAAAUGCGUAGAUAUCGAGAGGAACACCGGCGGCGAAGGCGGGUUGCUGGGCCGACACUGACGCUGAUGCGCGAAAGCCAGGGGAGCGAACGGG
rnacentral:rRNA from 1 species